GAUUCAACUCACAGAUAUGAGAUCCAGACUGCAGAUCAGAGGGGAGACUGACUUCUGCCCUUCAUUUGGGCCAAAGAAUACUUAUCUCCUUAUUUCCAACUUCUCAAGUUGCAGCUAGACCUGGGGAGAUGUAAAUAUUUUAAGCGGGGAGUUUCUAAGUGAAAAGGGACCCAGGCCACCUUCUACUUACAAUAUUCCCAUGGGUUUCCUCUGGAAAACCAGAGUGACGAUGGUCUAAAAGAAACACCGAAAGAGUGCAUGCUAGAGAUUUUGAUGAGUCAACACACCACUCCUGGU